AUUUAUUAAGACCCAGAGGAAACCCACAGAGACAGUAAUCUAAGCUUAGGAUCUUCACUCGAGUGAUCUCUGUUCACACUAAUAUCAGAGUGUGUAGGGGCUCUUCUCUGUUUUGAUGAUGAUGUGACGCAGGAGCAUUGAGGACAUUAUGACCGCCCAGUGCACCUUUCACGAUAGAAGAAAAGACAAAGUGUCUGCCACUUGUUUACUUUUGGGUCUGUUUUACAGUCAUUUAUAUGAUUAUCAUUUUUUAUCAGAUUAUCAUCUUGCUGUACCGACAAUGAAAAGAAAAGCAACUGAGAAAUGUCACGAAGACAACAAGAUAGAGAAUGUUAGGAAUGGUACAGUCAGUGCCUAAACUGACAAAGUAUUCUCCUCUGCUUCUGCGAGCAAUAGCGGGAUUAAAUGGACUGUGAUGAUAUUUAGCAGAUGACUGGAGGAAUGGCAUCUGUGUGGACUGAAAACUCUUUUUCUAUCAUAACUGAAAAUUAAGUGGAAGGAUCAACAGGCGAGCCACUUCAGAUGGAUAUUGCACUGCCACAUGCAAUAUUUCAAAAGGAAAAGGUAUUACAGGCAUGUCUGCAUGACUUCCUGUUCGAUCCUGUUCUGUGUGAAGAAUGGAAUAUCCCUAAAGAGAAUAAGAGAUCGUGUAGCUCUUGUACACUGGUAAUAUAUGACUUAUGUGAUGCUUUUACACAAGAUAUUAAUGGGCUAAAAAUUACCAACAAUGAUCAUCACUAAGCUCAAAAUUCAUUUGAAAUGUAUAGCUUGUAUUACAUCCAAUUUGCAGGAAAUGAGGGUGAGACUGUGAUGGAGCAAAAUGUCAGUAAAUUUGAGAUUAAUGUACUGUGUUUGUGUGCAGUCUCCUGCUCUUUGCUGUGCACUUCCACAUCAUGAAG